GUAAAUAUGAAAGACCCAGGACUGAGAGGUGGAAUGAAAAAGCUUUUCCACUACAUUCACACAGACUCUUUUUCCUCUUGAUUCCCCACUUACUCUUUUCGUCUCAUUUCCUUCUUCUAUAGAGUGGCAGUAAUGGGUCUCAAUUUCAUUUUGUUCUUUUGAUGGACGGAUUCCCACAGUUAGACCAAAUGAAAAUCUGACCAGUAAUGCCCACUUAUCUACCUCUCUGAAGUAUUGGAAGAAUUAAUGAUGGACUGCAAAAUGUACUGAAGAUGAAGAGCACACCAUGAUAGUUGAUGAGUAUUAUUGAAAAGUACCAAUGGUAAUGACGGGAAUCCCGUUGCCUGGAGACCACUGUUGAAGAACAUCAGUGCCACGGCCUCUUGGAGAUUUAAGACAUCUAAUAAGGAGCUGACAGAAAUCAUCAACUUGCCCCUGAGAAUGUAGCAUUUUUUAAAAGUCACAAUAAAGCACUUGUCUGGAUAUUA